rnacentral:sRNA from 1 species
AGCAUUCCAUGUAGUACAUCAUCUUUAGUUUAGGUAUCCUCCUUGGGCUGAGAUCAAGCCUAUGCCACCAUUAUCAUUUUCCUCUUGCACAAGGGUGGGAAAAUCCUUAUGUUAUUGGUUAUAAUGUUCUUGACCUUGCAAGGCCAAGGUACCAGCUACAUGCUGGGGGAUGGGUGACCUUGGCACCUGCCUAUGAUGAAGUGUGGCUCUUUGCUUUAGUUGUCUGCUCUUCUGUAAUCUGUACUCUGCAUUAUUUCAAGAUGAAUUGUAUCCUCUAGAUUAAUCUUCUGUUUCCUUGAUGAGUUGCGAGUUUGCGACAUUCCUGUCAAGCUGAUACAUUUGUCAUGGUUAACGAGAAAGAACAUAUAUGGUGUAUUUGUUUCUGAAUCCUGCGCAUGGCAGCAUGCUUCUUUGUCUAUUGUUAUCAUUGAUAUGACUUAUGAAUCAAUUGUGGUGGUCAUUCUGAAUCACAUGCUCUACACUCUCACUAAGUAACAUGACUCGAAAGCAAGUUUUUUUUUUGGCCACUAAGGGAUACAGCAUCGCAGAGACUUUGUCGGAACCUUUUUUUUUUCCGAUUAGUUUCAUUCUUUCUGGUGCGUGCAAAUAAGCCAAUGGCAAAGUGGACUGAUGGUCUGAUGUCAAUGUUGUAGUGAGAUGUUUCUCCUUGUCUUUGGCAACAGAGUAUCCUGUGUUUUAUU